UCCAUCCGUCAUCCCGGCGAAGGCCGGGAUCUCGACCUUGCGGUUCGACGCGCCGGAGAGAUCCCGGCCUUCGCCGGGAUGACGAAAUUC
rnacentral:sRNA from 1 species